GGAAGAUUGCCAGAGUGGUAAUGGAGCACCCUGCUAAGGUGCGGUCGGCAACGGCUCGAAGGUUCGAAUCCUUCAUCUUCCGCCA
rnacentral:tRNA from 1 species